GCUUNGUCGUAAACUUAAAUAAUCCCAAAACAAGAUUAUUCGCCAGAGUACUAUCGGCAACAGCCCAAAACUCAAAGGACUUGGCGGUGCUUCAUAUCCUUCUAGAGGAGCCUGUUCUGUAAACGAUAAACCACGAUUAACCUCACCAAUCCUUGCUACUUCAGUCUAUAUACCGCCAUCUUCAGCAAACCCUAAAAAAGGAACGAAAGUAAGCACAACUACUGCACGUAAAAACGUUAGGUCAAGGUGUAACCUAUGGAUUGGGAAGAAAUGGGCUACAUUUUCUAUAAUAAGAACACCCCUUAAACUCACACGAAAGUUUUUAUGAAACCUAAAAACUAAAGGAGGAUUUAGCAGUAAAUUAAGAAUAGAAUGCUUAAUUGAAUAAGGCCAUGAAGCACGC
rnacentral:rRNA from 1 species